UUUUCCUCAUCUACUGUGCGUUCACGGGCGAUAUGAUGAUGUGCGUGCACAUCGGCACUUCUUUUGGCCAUCACCUACAUAACCCACAUACGAAGCGCCGCGCAACCACGAAAAAAAAAGACAAAGAGGCCGUCACGCCUUCGUGUAUCGUUGCCCACCCGCACAACCCUCUCCUCGCGCCUCAACUCUUCCAGCUCCUCGACGGCUUGCUGUGGGGCGCACAAACGAGGUGCGCCCUUGGUUGUCAGGAGUGCUCCCCCCCCCCCGUACCCCUUCUUCCGCACGAGCACACGCGCCGGGAGGAGGCAGAGAGGAAAGGUAUCUCGUUUUCGCAUCCCUGGGCCAAAGCCGCAUCCUUCAGAAGGGAGUGAAACAUCCUUGCAUCCAUCUCUGCGUACUUCUCCGUUUGCGUGCCUACGUGUUAUCGCUUUUUGCCUCAUUGAGGCGGUGACACCUUGCGCGGCAUUUCAGUCACCAUCACGGUCGACACCAUCUCUCUUCCUUCCCUUCCUCUGCUUUAG
rnacentral:misc_RNA from 1 species